UCACAAAACAGUCGCUUUGUG
rnacentral:siRNA from 1 species